UUGUCUGCUUCGUCCUCUGCUUCGGGCCAUCUUCUUUCAUAGAGGGCUCUGUUUCUCUUUCCUCUCUCCUAUCCUAAGAUGAAAAAGGAAUGCAUUUGGCAGGACUCAAAUAAGCUGCUUGAAUUUACCACCCCUCCGCAUCCCCCGCAUCUCAGUUCCGUACCCAAAGAGGGCUGCAAGUUAAAAUACCAUUGCUCCAUAACCAUAAGUGAGUCUAUGUUGAUUGUUCAUUUUCAUUCCAGAUCUGAAACUUUCCCGUUUGGCUGGACCGCUCCACGGGUAUACCAGUGCUCGUUUAUCCAGAGCUUGAAACGACCAGCUAAAGCACCGUGCCGACUGCGGAGUAACGAGGCACACCGCGCUAUGUAUGUAACCGGAACAUUUCACUCAGGCGCUCAGGCGGCACCCAACGGGAACACAUGAGCACAAGUGUCAGGUCAGGUGUACGUACACUCAGGCGCUCGUCUCGGGAAGAAGCUUCUUGUUUUGUGAGAGAUUAUGCUGCACGAUGAUGACUCACUGUGUUUGGACUUUGCGAGAGUCGUAUUCGUAACGAGCUAUUGUUCUUUCCGGGCUAGGUGGUGAGGAGAGAUCCCCGGUUUCAAUGGACCGAAACCAUGUAAAAACUCAGUACAAAUAUGAUAUCAACCGGAGACAUGAUUGGAGUACUAUACGAGGUGGGAGCCUGCGAGGCCACAGGCUUCUAUUUAGGGUUGCCAACGCCAGCCCAAUGGGCAAUGCGGACUCGUUCGCUUCAGCCGCAAUGUACUACGCGGGCGGCCACGGGCGCCGCAAGUCUAUGUGAUUGUGUCCAGCGGCACCGCGGCUCAGCCCAAAAUCCCGUGACAGAGAAGCUGCGCGCUGGUUCCCCGCUAGCUGCCGGAAGAAGCUGCGCCUAGGUUCUGCUUGCCGCUAGCUACACCAAUUUGCCGCUGGAUGACUGACUAAUAAAACUGCUGGCCACCAGCCACUGCUGUUGCUUGAAGCAGUAAUAUAGUAAGAUCACUUGAUUAAAUGAUUAACAGGCUACAUGAGGGAUGUAGUAAUUAACAGUAAUCAAUCCAAGUCCAACACAAGAGCUAUAGUAAUUAACAAUCCCGGGUUAGCUAUGUACUAUUUAUCAAGACAAAGUUGCUGACAGGAAGUUCCAGCUGUAGUAUUUUAACAAUCUCGGUUUUCAGACAACAGUAAUUAACAAUAAUUAACAAGAGUUGCUGAUCAACACAAUAGCUGCCCAGAAAAUUUAGAACCUCAGAUGCCAACACAUAUUGAUCAAAUUUAGCUGACAGAACACAAGAGUUGUU